AGGAGACGGAGGAUGAGGAGGAAGAGAAAGAAGUGACCCCUGAGUCAGGCCCCCUAAAGGAGGAGGAGGAAGAUGGGGGCCUGCAGAUCAAUGUGGAUGAGGAACCAUUUGUGCUGCCCCCUGCUGGGGAGACGGAGCAGGAUAUCCUUGCAGGGCAGAGUGAAGAGUUAGGAGGAAGAUGCUUGGGAGAGGGAUUUCCAGGCCCUAGGACAUCAUGACACAGUUCCUUAACAGGCCCACAUGCCCAGGCUCCAGACCUGCAACGAGUUCACAGGCGGAUCCAGGAUAUUGUGGGAAUUCUGCGUGAUUUUGGGGCUCAGCGGGAGGAAGGGCGGUCUCGUUCUGAAUACCUGAACCGGCUCAAGAAGGAUCUGGCCACUUACUACUCCUAUGGAGACUUCCUGCUUGGCAAGCUCAUGGACCUCUUCCCUCUGUCUGAGCUGGUGGAGUUCUUAGAAGCUAAUGAGGUGCCUCGGCCUGUCACCCUCCGGACCAAUACCUUGAAAACUCGACGCCGAGACCUUGCGCAGGCUCUAAUCAAUCGUGGGGUUAACCUGGAUCCCCUGGGCAAGUGGUCAAAGACUGGACUAGUGGUGUAUGAUUCUUCUGUGCCCAUUGGUAAGUCUCCCCCACCCAAGAGCCCUUCUACCUCUGUCCCUGUCCCUACCGCAUGUCACAGGGUGGUCCUCCUCCGCAGGUGCUACCCCCGAGUACCUGGCUGGGCACUACAUGCUGCAGGGAGCCUCCAGCAUGUUGCCCGUCAUGGCCUUGGCACCCCAGGAACAUGAGCGGAUCCUGGACAUGUGUUGUGCCCCUGGAGGAAAGACCAGCUACAUGGCCCAGCUGAUGAAGAACACAGGUGUGAUCCUUGCCAAUGACGCCAAUGCUGAGCGGCUCAAGAGUGUUGUGGGCAACUUGCAUCGGCUGGGAGUCACCAACACCGUUAUCAGCCACUAUGAUGGGCGCCAGUUCC
rnacentral:sRNA from 1 species